GAUGAACGCUGGCGGCGUGCUUAACACAUGCAAGUCGAACGAUGAAGCCCAGCUUGCUGGGUGGAUUAGUGGCGAACGGGUGAGUAACACGUGAGUAACCUGCCCUUGACUCUAGGAUAAGCCCGGGAAACUGGGUCUAAUACUGGAUAGGAACGUCUACCGCAUGGUGGGUGUUGGAAAGAAUUUCGGUCAUGGAUGGACUCGCGGCCUAUCAGCUUGUUGGUGAGGUAAUGGCUCACCAAGGCGACGACGGGUAGCCGGCCUGAGAGGGUGACCGGCCACACUGGGACUGAGACACGGCCCAGACUCCUACGGGAGGCAGCAGUGGGGAAUAUUGCACAAUGGGCGAAAGCCUGAUGCAGCGACGCCGCGUGAGGGAUGACGGCCUUCGGGUUGUAAACCUCUUUCAGUAGGGAAGAAGCGAAAGUGACGGUACCUGCAGAAGAAGCACCGGCUAACUACGCG
rnacentral:rRNA from 1 species